CUGCAGGCUCCGCCUCCCGGGUUCACGCCAUUCUCCUGCCUCAGCCUCCCGAGUGGCUGGGGCUGCAGGUGCCCGCCAACACGCCCGGCUAAUUUUUUGUAUUUUUAGUGGAGACAGGGUUUCGCCGUGUUGGCCAGGAUGGUCUCGAUCUCCUGAACUCGUGAUCCACCCACCUCGGCCUCCCAAAGUGCUGGGAUUAC
rnacentral:lncRNA from 1 species